rnacentral:rRNA from 1 species
GACGAACGCUGGCGGCGUGCUUAACACGUGCAAGUCGAACGGAAAGGCCCUGCUUGCAGGGUACUCGAGUGGCGAACGGGUGAGUAACACGUGGGUGAUCUGCCCUGCACUUCGGGAUAAGCCUGGGAAACUGGGUCUAAUACCGGAUAGGAGCCAUUUUUAGUGUGAUGGUUGGAAAGUUUUUUCGGUGUAGGAUGAGCUCGCGGCCUAUCAGCUUGUUGGUGGGGUAAUGGCCUACCAAGGCGGCGACGGGUAGCCGGCCUGAGAGGGUGGACGGCCACAUUGGGACUGAGAUACGGCCCAGACUCCUACGGGAGGCAGCAGUGGGGAAUAUUGCACAAUGGGCGCAAGCCUGAUGCAGCGACGCCGCGUGGGGGAUGACGGCCUUCGGGUUGGAAACUCCUUUCGCUAGGGACGAAGCUUUUUGCGACGGUACCUAGAUAAGAAGCACCGGCUAACUACGUG